rnacentral:rRNA from 1 species
AAGGGCGUCGGAGGAGGGGCCCGCGCCCGAUUAGCUAGUUGGUGAGGUAACGGCUCACCAAGGCGAUGAUCGGUAGCCGGUCUGAGAGGAUGGCCGGCCACACUGGAACUGAGACACGGUCCAGACUCCUACGGGAGGCAGCAGUGGGGAAUCUUGCGCAAUGGGCGGAAGCCUGACGCAGCGACGCCGCGUGGGGGAUGAAGCUUCUCGGAGUGUAAACCCCUUUCGACCCGGACGAAUAGCCCGCAAGGGAAUUGACGGUACGGGUAGAAGAAGCCCCGGCUAACUACGUGCCAGCAGCCGCGGUAAAACGUAGGGGGCCAGCGUUGCUCGGAAUUACUGGGCGUAAAGGGUCCGUAGGCGGUGCGGCAAGUCGGAAGUGAAAUCUCACGGCUUAACUGUGAGGCUGCUUCCGAAACUGCCGUGCUCGAGUGCGGGAGAGGCGAGUGGAAUUGCAGGUGUAGCGGUGAAAUGCGUAGAUAUCUGCAGGAACACCCGUGGCGAAGGCGGCUCGCUGGACCGCAACUGACGCUGAGGGACGAAAGCUAGGGGAGCAAACAGGAUUAGAU